CCAAGCCCACGAACGCUCAGAUCUAGAUAAGGUGUACCACGCACGCAGCCAAAUCCCUAAUUCCCCUUCUCCUUCUCCUUCGAUUCCCCACACCCGCCGCCGCCGGGCUCUCCACCGCGCCUCCGCGCUCCACCACGGCGUUGGCCUCUCCCUCGCGCCCCCGCGUCUCUACUCCACGCUGUCGACCUCUCCACCGCGCCGGCCACCUCUCCACCUACUCCAGAGGAGCGUUGCCCUGCGGAAUGGCGUGACGGCCGUGGCGGCGCACGUCCCGGAGGUGCUGCUGCUCGUGGUGUCCAAUCCCGUCGACGACCUCACCUACCUGGCCUGAAAGCUUUCAAGCUUCCCGGCGAGCAGCGUCGGCGGCUCCGGCACCAACCUCCACUCCUCCAGGUUCCGGUUCCUUAUCAACCAGCUCCACGUCAACACCCAGGACGUGUAGGUAACUAACUGGAUCCUGAAUCCUGAUCAAGACUUGUGCCCUCACUCGAUAUUCUAGGAUGAUGCAUGGCUGGACAUAGAAAAUGGACUGCUUAAAAAUUAUGUGUGAUUAGUAACUAAAUGUAUAUAGAAAAUGGUUGGGACAACUCUGCUGGAAUAUAAAUGUAGGGCAUUAUUUACUUAUAGAACAAUUAUGUGGUAGUGUUGGUCUUGCUGUCAAUAUUUAUACAGGACAAAAGCAGAACUUCGAUCCAGUAAGUAAAACGCGUAAUUGCUAUAUGUGUACAAUUGGUUCCAUGCCGGAUCCAUGUAAAAGAACACCUAACAGAUCAAUUGAGAAAGUAUCAUUGUUUCCUUGCUUAUUUACUGAAACUGAAUCUCUUCCAGUGCAGUUAGGGCAACAAUUUAAUUCUGAUAAUCAUUUUCAGUUUGAGAAGUUUCUGUUUUUAAAUGCUUCUUUUAAAGGACCAUGUUCAAAUGACUAACCUGUGUUUUGUGCCCAGGCUAUUUAACUUAUUUCUUGAUUAAGGUGUUGAUGGGCUGUAACUAUUUGCCACUCUGAAAAUAUAACACUUUUGUGCCCAGGCUAUUUAACUUGUUUCUUGAUUAAGGUGUUGAUGGGCUGUAACUAUUUGCCACUCUGAAGAUAUAAAGUGUUAUUUCUUCAGGUAUCGUAUCACUGAGGCACCCUCCCAUGCACCUGCAAGCAUGAAUGAAGGACGUGUUUUGAGGUCUAGUGUAACACAAGAUCAUGAUCAUGUAGAUCACGCGCAUCAGCCUUCCAAAGUAAGCCAUCCUGCUGUGUCAAAACUGUAGUAUAUUCAUCCACACAUUUUCAUUUUUGGGUGGAAAGUAAAUAUAGGUAGAACAUGAAGCAGUACAAACACGACUUGCUGAAGUCAGUGAUAUAGAUUCUAUUCUGUUCUAAAAAUAGAACAUUUAAACCACAUGUGUGCUUUAUGUGAUUGCUUAGUUCCUGCCUGGUUUUCCUUUUUUACAUUCUUCUUAAAUUACUAAACCUUCUAGUUCUGUUAUCUGGGCUAGACCUCCACAUGUGUUUUAUGUGAUGGUUUAGUUCCUAGGUUAUCUUGAAAUUUGGAACUUCAACCCCCCCCCCCCCCCCCCAACUGUUGGUGAGUUCUUGCGGAUUGCUUCAGUCUGCAACUAGAUCUCCCUAUCCUGCCCAUCAAAUCUGAUUUACUACUGAGAUGCAACUAGAUUUAUUUGUACAACUUCAGUUUUACGCUUAGUUAUAUUUAUAACGGGGCAUCAUAUUAUUAACUAUUUUUUUCAUUCUCUAUAUACUGAACGAAAACAAGGUAUUUUAUGUUUUUAUUCUCUGAAUUGCACAAGUGGCAUGCAACUGUUUCUAUUCAUUUUAUUAUCUAGAAGCAACAGCAAGGAUAUAUCAUACAUGAGGGUACAUAAAGGCCAGCUAGGAAAUAGAUUAGCUUUGAACACCAAAGUCAAGAAUCUACUUUUGUAACUAGACUUUUUGUGUUGAACAUCUCUCCUAGACUGAGAUUUUUUGAUAAAGUCAAAAAAAUUGCUAAAAAAAAAGAUGUGUUAUGGGGUGGGAAACACAAAGUCUGAGAUUCCUUGUUCUUGGUGCAGUGACUUUUUAUUCCAGGUUUACAAUCAUUUACUAUCUACAGGUAAUAAUCCAGAAUGAUUAGUAUUUAGCUGAAAGAGAUCAAGAAAAAAAUUGCUCAACGGUUUGCUCAAUUCUCGUGAAAUUUGUAACUGGAUUGCCACGGUUAUUGUUGUGUAUAUUUGUUUCUUUCUAGAAACAUAGGGGUUUUAUGCCACCGUUCGCAGAUACUGCCACAGAUGUUGAGUGGCAACAUGUUAUUCCUUAGGUUCAUGAAAUGGAAAAAAAAUCUUUUGAGUUUAAAUUUUCUAUAUUACUGCAUCAAUUAUGUAAGCAAAUAAGUUCACCUUUGUUAGACCCCUCCAGCUAUGUACUUUUGCUGCUACUAAUCGUGAACUAUAUCAACAUGGAGCAUUCUAAUUCUUCUGCAUUGUUCUCUAUCUCGACAACUACUGUAGUGUAGGCUAAAGCAAUGACAUGUAUGAUUGAUGUAAUUGCAUCUCAAUAGGAACUAUUUGGUGCAUAGUAUAUUGGUCCUAGCCUACUUGCUGUAAAUGUCUGAUUUUGAUGGAUUUUGUUUGGAUUUGAUUAUACAAUCAAGAAUAUUUACCCUUUUGAGCCAUAUUCAACAGGUAUAUCAUCUAAUACUAACGAUUUCAAUUAUCAUGGCGUAUACAAGUCAAAACUAAAUCCAGUAAAUCUGUAUAUCUACUAAAAAGUCACAGUUAUAUAUAUUUAGCUUUCAGCUCAGUGUAUAUAUAUACUCCCUCCGUUUCUAAAUAUUUGUCUUUUUAGAGAUUUCAAAUGGACAACAUGUACGGAUGUAUAUAGACAUAUUUUAGAGUGUAGAUUCACUCAUUUUGCUUCGUACGUAUUCACUUAUUGAAAUCUCUAAAAAGACAAAUAUUUAGGAACGGAGGGAGUAUUUAACUUUCAGCUCACUGUAUCCACUAUCUGUAAAGUUGUAUGUUUAUUUUUUUGGAAACAAGUGUUGGAAUAUUGGCUGCUGGUACCUCUGUUUUCAAGGCGUCCCUAAGGCGUCGCCUAGGCGACGCUUAGGCGUCAGGGCGCCCUGCGAGGGCAAGGCGUCCACCUCGCCUUAGGUGGGUGUCUAAGGCGUCCGCCUUAAGCUAUAAGGCGUCCGAGGCGUCUGCCUAGGCGUCCGAGGCGUUGCCUUAGUCCAUUUUGGACGCCUUAGCUUGCCAGGCAGGCAGGGGAGCUGUUUUAGGCGGGAAACUGGAAUCAUGUUGGCGCCAACAGGUAAGAGGGGAGAAAGAGAGAGAGAGAAACAGCCCCCAAUCCACACACUCCUCCCCCUCCUUCUCUUCAGUGGCUCCUCUCCAGCAGAUCUGGUUCCUCCUCCUCUCCAGCAGCUCCUCCCCCUCCUCUCCAACGGUUCCUCCUCUCCAGCAGCUCCUCCUCUUCCUCCUGUCCAGCAGCUCCUCCUCAUCCUCCUGUCCAGCAGCUCCUCCUCUGCAGUACAGCAACAACAAGCAAGAGCAACAGUAAGAAUUCUGUUGGGGAGAAAAGCAAGUGCAAAGAGGAUGGGGGCUCUACAACAAUCAGUUGCAAGGAAGCAAACAUAAGGACUGGACUCACAAUGAACCAUGAAGCCGGCGAUCCGCGUCAACUGGAUGCUUUAGCUUUCAUUUUGUACAACCGAUGUCUCAUAUUUGCGUCUUUUUGCUGUCAUUUUGUAAACCUGAUGUAUGGUGUCUUGUCUUGGUGCUUAGAACAGACUGAAGUGUAUGUAUGUGACAAUUAGUUAAUGGAAUAAAAAUGGUUUGGUGCA